UCUGCAAACCUGGCAUCUUCUGAAAAGGCAGAUUUCUUAGUGUCAGAGUGGUAGAAGACCUUUUUUCUGCCCAUCUUUUUCUGGGAGACACAGAACUCCCACUCAGGAAAGUAAACAGGAAAGAGUGUCCUGUUUCCAUCAAGAUAGAAUCUAACUAAUUCAGAGGAAACUGCUGCGAGUGAAUAUCCAGGAUGUCUCCAAAACAAAUGUUGGCUUUGGGAGGACUCUGCCCCUGUCCCAGAGGUCUGAUAUCAACAGGCAUUUUGGAAAAGCCCCGUCACCCUGACAUCACAGUUUCACUCCAGCAAAGGAGAUCCUAACCCCGGGGCUGUUGAAAGAAGAGGAUCUACAGGGACGAGUUUCACAUUUCUGUCUCUUGGGUUCUCCGGGGCCCACUUGACUGCUCAGACAUGGACGACCAGAUAGGUACAGCCCUAAAAAGCAAAAAAAAAAAGUCUAGACGAAUGGAUGCAAAAAAAAUGGAAUACCUGCGGUGACUGACAGGUAGUUUUGAUUGAUUUUAUUAAUUUUUUAUUAAUUCAUUUUUCUAAAUGUCCUAUAAUAAACUUAAAGUACAUUUAUAACAUGAGAAAAAAAAUAAAGAGAGAUAUAUUGAAUUAGGUUCCAAAGUCUACUAGGCAGGCUCUUUAAUUAGUACGAAAGAGACUUAUAUAAGUUACUGUCAGUGAUGAGAGUUUUUUUUCUCCACAAAAAGAGGGACAUUCCAUCACGUUGUCUCAUCAGUUGGACUGUUAUUAAUCUGAAGCCAGAGUUUUGAAGACUGGGAGGUUGUGCGUGCCUCUCUGAGAAUGAGUCCAGUUAAAACGGUAAAAUUCUCAGAGAGCUGCAGCCCAGGAAAAUGAUUGAUGUUAUGACUCAGAAUUUAUCACAGAUCUAUAAUUUUUGAGCAGUAGGGGAAUUCUUUUCAGGUUUUCAACCUGAUCAGUUGCUCUCUGCUGGCCAAUGAAGGAGGAAGUAUCCGAAUCUUUCAUAUGUGGCAAAAUUUAGAGCGAGUAGAAGCUCGGAGACAGAAAGAUUGAGAAUUUUUUUGCAAUUAAUGUAGAAACUCCCAGAAUUAAGGAAAUAACCAAUUUCAAAUGAAUUGCUAUCUGAGUGAACAUAUAAGCUAACUGGCAGAAGAUGGAGGAUCAGGGUAAAAAUCUCUAAGAAAAAACAGGUACAGAGAUUGUAACAUCAGAACCUCACUGUGUACUUUAUGUUGAAUGGUUCACAAUGGGUCCCCCACAAGGGUUCAUGUUCUAUACAGGAUGAAACUUCCAGGAUGCCUAGUGGGCCUGUGGGCAAACCUCAAGCAGUCAUUGACCUGGGGAACCACAGAGCCUCAUGGCAUGGAAAACUGCCUGGACAUUUUGAGGAUGACCUCUGAACUCUGGAUGUUAAAAUCCCUAAGCCUCAGAGGAAACCAAAGAUUGCCUUCUUUUUUUUUUUUUUUUUUUUUUAAUAUCUUCCUCUCAUCUGGCACCUGGAUGGAGCAAAUUUCCCUCCUGGCAAAAGCAAGAGAGGUGUGGUCAGAGCUCCUCAGGCUGAUGUCAGGCCAACCCCAGCUAGACCGGUUCUGUAAGUUACAGGGCAUAAUGAGGGCUGGAUAACAAAGAGCAAAUGAUAAUAACUCUAAUAAGAAGGAAACACACAGACAAAAAAAAAAACAACAACCUAACAGCCCAAGACAGCAUAGUUGUGAAAUCUGAAAGUAGUCUUUGAAGGGAUAUUUCUCCCCUUUUAUUUCAAAAGAAAUGUUCCGGGUGGAAAGGAGAAGACAUUGAUGACAAGUUGGAAAUAUAGAAAGAGUUUGUAAGGAAGCGGGAGGUAGAGGAAAAGGGGGCUCCACGGGCUGUGCAAGGGCUUCUGCGGCAGUGAGGUGAGGGACAGCGACCUCUGGCCAGUCGUACUGUGGGCAGUAGCAGAGACUAUGUCACUUCUUUCACUGUCACUUGUGUGACGUGCUGCCGGUCUGGCCUGGAAUGAAAGGGGGACUUAGAGAGGGGUGAAGAUUCUGGAGCUGUAUCUGGGAGCAAACCAGAGACAUGCUCUUUUAUUUUAGAAAGACUGGAUUUCUUCCCCGCCUGCAGUCAUUCACAGGUGAGCCUGGUCGGGAUGUUUCCUGUGAGCUAAACAAAGGUAUUUUAGCUUAAUGCUCAUUACCUCGGAAGUGGGGGUUCUCAGAGCUGGGCCCUUAUGUAUAACCUAUGUUUAGAGGCAACAUUUGAUAUUCUCAAAUGAUAUAUUCUGUUGACAUUCAUAAAUUAUAUAAUGAAAUAAGUCCUUUGUGUAUUGUUAGGCAUCUUAGCUCGGUGUAUCUAAUUGAAAAUUUCUGUGAGCUUUCUGGUGCCUGCUUUCAAAUAAGGGUGUUGAGAAGAUAAAGUAGUACCACCUUUAGGAAAGCAAUUUAACAAUAGCUAACUCAAUAAUUUUAAAGGCGCAGAGUCCCUGUCCUGGCUUAGUGGUUAACGAACCCAAUUAGCAUCCAGGAGGAUGUGGGUUUGAUCCCUGGCUUCACUCAGUGGGUUAAGGAUCCGGCAUUGCCAUGAGCUGUGGUGUAGGUCGAAGACGGGGCUUGGAUCCCACAUUGCUGUGGCUCUGAUUUAGGCCCUCAUCUACAGCUCUGAUUGGCCCCCUAGCCUGGAAACCUCCAUAUGCCACAGGUGCAGCCCUAAAAAGAC
rnacentral:lncRNA from 1 species